UCGCUCUACCAUGCAAGUCGAGCGGAAAGGCCCUUCGGGGUACUCGAGCGGCGAACGGGUGAGUAACACGUGAGUAACCUGCCCUGGACUUUGGGAUAACCCUCGGAAACGGGGGCUAAUACCGGAUAUGACUGUGGACUGCAUGGUCUGUGGUGGAAAGUUUUUCGGUCUGGGAUGGGCUCGCGGCCUAUCAGCUUGUUGGUGGGGUGAUGGCCUACCAAGGCGACGACGGGUAGCCGGCCUGAGAGGGCGACCGGCCACACUGGGACUGAGACACGGCCCAGACUCCUACGGGAGGCAGCAGUGGGGAAUAUUGCACAAUGGGCGGAAGCCUGAUGCAGCGACGCCGCGUGAGGGAUGACGGCCUUCGGGUUGUAAACCUCUUUCAGCAGGGACGAAGCGCAAGUGACGGUACCUGCAGAAGAAGCGCCGGCCAACUACGUGCCAGCAGCCGCGGUAAGACGUAGGGCGCGAGCGUUGUCCGGAUUUAUUGGGCGUAAAGAGCUCGUAGGCGGCUUGUCGCGUCGUUCGUGAAAACCCACAGCUCAACUGUGGGCUUGCGGUCGAUACGGGCAGGCUCGAGUUCGGUAGGGGAGACUGGAAUUCCUGGUGUAGCGGUGAAAUGCGCAGAUAUCAAGAGGAACACCGGUGGCGAAGGCGGGUCUCUGGGCCGAUACUGACGCUGAGGAGCGAAAGCGUGGG
rnacentral:rRNA from 1 species